ACGAGAUCAUGCCCUCACGGGUAGACCUCCCACCCUUGAAUAUCAUACCUUCGUUGCUUUGGCGGGCCGCCUCGGCCACCGGCUUAGGCUGGUGAGUGCCCGCCAGAGGACCCUAAACUCUGAAUCAUGGUGUCGUCUGAGUACUAUAUAAUAGUUA
rnacentral:misc_RNA from 1 species